rnacentral:lncRNA from 1 species
GGGUUUGAUACCUACUUCUCCAUGGCCAGAGGUAAUGCUACCGUGCCAGCUAUGGAGAUGACCAAGUGGUUCGACACCAACUAGUAAGUGAUGAUGCCUCCUAAUGCUGUCUUCUAUUAAUGGUGUGUUGUUGUGGUGUAAUGAUCUGAUUCCUGAAUUGUUAUUUUUGUGUUGAUCCAGCCACUUUAUUGUCCCUGAAUUGGGCCCUGAUGUGAACUUCACCUAUGCUUCUCACAAGGCUGUUGAUGAAUACAAGGAGGCCAAGGCGGUAUGUGUUUUUUUUUUUUCUAUAAUUGUGUCAAAACUUAAAAGCCAAUUGCAAUAGCUUAGCUGAAUAUAAUUGAGAAGCAUUGCUGUGUGCAACACUUCAUUUAGAUAAGGGUGAAAUAUGAGAAAUGAUUGUGUUAAUUACCACUUGUUGUGAAUUUCUCAUUUAUUGUGGCCAAGAGCAAGUGCGUGACAGGGAAUUGUUCUGUUGGCAGUUGUUGUGUUCACAUGUUGUCCUGUGUGGGUCAUUGUGAUAAAAAAGUUGAUUUCUUAGCCCUUUUUGUAUGCUUGUAUGUAUCAACAUUGUCAUUGAAUGUAUAUUUAUUUGUCUUGCAGCUUGGAGUGGAUACCGUUCCGGUCCUCGUUGGCCCUGUUACAUACCUGUUGCUCUCCAAGCCUGCCAAGGGAGUUGAGAAAUCCUUUUCUCUCCUCUCUCUCCUUCCCAAGGUUCUUGCUGUCUACAAGUAAGAAUUUUAACUUGUUGAGUGUUGUUGUAAUUUUCUCUGUAUAUUCAUGUCAUUUGUCUAACUUGCUUAUAACUAUAAACACAGGGAAGUUAUUGCUGACCUUAAGGCAGCUGGUGCUUCAUGGAUUCAGUUUGAUGAGCCUACCCUUGUCUUGGACCUUGAGUCUCACAAGUUGCAAGCAUUCACUGACGCAUAUGCAGAACUUGCGCCUGCUUUGUCUGGUUUGAAUGUUCUUGUUGAGACCUACUUUGCUGACAUCCCUGCUGAGGCAUACAAGACCCUCACAUCUCUGAAUGGCGUCACUGCAUAUGGAUUUGAUUUGGUCCGUGGAACCAACACUCUUGAUUUGAUCAAGGGUGGAUUUCCCAGCGGAAAAUACCUCUUUGCUGGAGUGGUUGAUGGAAGGAACAUCUGGGCCAAUGACCUUGCUGCUUCUCUCACUACCUUGCAGGGUCUUGAGGGCAUUGUGGGCAAAGGUAUUUAUUAAACAUGUGUUUCAGAGUAAAUUUUGGGAGACUUUUACAGUUAUUAUAGUUACCUGAUGUAUCUAUUAUUUAAACUGUAUGCAGAUAAGCUUGUUGUGUCCACCUCCUCCUCCCUUCUUCACACUGCUGUUGAUCUAGUUAACGAGACCAAGUUGGAUGAUGAGAUCAAGUCAUGGCUAGCUUUUGCUGCCCAAAAAAUUGUUGAAGUUAACGCAUUGGC